AAGUCGUAACAAGGUUUCCGUAGGUGAACCUGCGGAAGGAUCAUUAACGAAUUGUUAACAGGGAGUUGAUGCUGGCGGUCUUUAUUGGCUGCAUGUGCUCGCUUCCGACAACCCUUAUCCAUACACCUGUGCAUCUCUGAGGGUUUUCCGUCUUUACUGACUGGAUUUCCCUCUCUUUCACAAACCCAUUAUGUAUAACAUUGAACGUGAUUGUGCCGCAAGGCCUUAAAUAAAAUACAA
rnacentral:misc_RNA from 1 species